AGCCUGCACCGCCCGCACCGCUCUGGGACAUCCGUAAUUGCUGGCAGCAUCUGACUUGCAAAACGAUACAUCGGAUGAAAGGCUUCCCGUUUUUUCAAGUAUCCCUCCCAGGACAGAGUGACGUCCGGACCCGUUUUCAUCAUCGCUAUACCUUAAAGGGUUCCAAGCGGCUACGGAUGAUUGUAUCAUAAAGAUUGAAAUGAAUAAGGGCUAGAACCAUAACCGCUUCUUUCAGCGAAGUUCCCCAGGCCCUGCAGCUUGUCUGCUCACUCCCGCGGCGCAGAACCCGAAACCACAAGGCUGAAACCUCACCAGUGCCUGCAGCUCAACCCUCCGGGGCCCUCCCCCCACCCGGCUCCACCCGGCCCUCCGGGGCCUGGGCUCUGCUACUCACAGAUGCUGACGUGGCUCUGCAGCUCCCCUGACAUCCUGCAAAACCAAAGCACAAACAUCAGCCAGACCCCCGAAGCCCGAGGGAAGGCAGGUCACAGCCCGCAGACAUCAGGAGCAGAGACACCCGCUCGAAGUGACAGCUGUCCCCAGGCUUUGGGGAAAGGGUUCCGGUCUUCCCAGAGAAGCUGGGGUCGUCCUCCCACUGCUCCAGGGGUGCAGCCCGAACUUGUCCCCAGAAGCAUGGCCCACCUGCUCUCCUCGCCCUCCAGCAGCUUCCGCCGCUGGAUGGUUCGGUUCAGCUCAGCAAUCUCCAUCUUGCUGCUCUUGAGCUCGUCUCCAUGCCUGCCCGCGGAGAUCUGGAGCUCCUGGUACUGAGGGGCAGGGGCAGCAUCAUAGCCAGGAGGCCCUCCAAGACGGUUCUGGUGCUGACAUGUGUGCCACUCAGAACUACUUGUCUGCAAGACAGUGGGUCACAGGCCCGCCAGGAUUGGAAUCAAGAAGGCAGAUCUCAAGUGCCAGGAGUUUAAAAUGUAGCGAGUGGCCUUUGACCCUUAACUACAAUCUUCAUCCUCCAAAAAGGUCUGUAUUAAAGAAGUGAUCAAAGAUGUGCCCAAAGACGUGGCCACAAAGAUGUUUAUUUGAUGAGGGCAUAUUCUUACCAUGGAAUACCACGCUGCUAUUAAAAAUAAUGUAGAAUAUUUAAUGACACAGAACGGAAUUCAUAAAUAAUAAGUGAAAGAGAAAAGUGCAAAACUAUAGGUUAGAAGAUGUCAUUAUGGGGGCACCUGAGCGGCUCAGUUGGUUAAGCGUCCAACUCUUGAUUUUGGCUCAUGAUCGUGAGAUUGAGUCCUGCACCGGGCUCUGUGCUGAGCCUGGGA